ensembl:lncRNA
GUCCAGGAGAAGCGAGUCAAGGCAAGGCAAGGCCAGGAAAGGUCAUGCAUGGCCAGGUUGCUCUAGUAAAGGCAUGGAGAGGAAAGGCCAGGCAAGGUACGGCGAAGUCAGGCAAGGUCAAGUGUGGCUAGGUGAUGCCAGACCAGGCCAGACGAGGCCAAGCAAGGCAAGGCAAGGACAGGCAAGACAAGACCAGGCCAGGUCAGGCCAGGCAAGGCAAGGCAAGGCACGGCCAGGCCAGGCCACGCCAGGCAAGGGAAGGAACAGCCAUGCUAGGUCAGUGUAGUCCAGGCCAGGUAGGGCAAGGAUAGGCCAGGC